UUCACAGUUAGUGGAAAGCUAUGAGUCGUUCAUCUAUGAUUAAACUAAAUCCAACUAAUUUUGCUAACAUUUUGUAACUACAAUUCCAGUUCAGGAAAUGUCCCCGACAUGCGAUGCACCGCAGUAUGUCAUUAGCAAGUGUGGAACUGUUCAGCUUCGGCACAAUGGUCAUCUUUUCAAUCGACACGUCAAGCGAGACGAUAUCACAUACUGGCGCUGCUCGCAGUUUACCGUGUACAAGUGUCGCGCUCGGAUUAAAUCCGUUCUCGAAGAGUUUUUCAUGUUGAACGUGAUACAUAACCACCAGGUAGUGGCCUCACCCAGAGCGUACGGAUUUUUGAAGCGACUGAAGCAACAACUUGCAAGAGAUUAAUAAAAUACACACGUCUUUGGAAUUCAAUCUAGUACUUCAUUUUAUUGAAUUUAGGAAUUCUCGGACAGUUUUGCAUUGAGCUAAUGAUUCCAAUCCACAUAUCAGAUUUCUAUGUCCGAUACGUUUCCGGAUUUCGAGGAAGUCGCAAGCUAAAACUAGGAGAGUUCAGCUAUACCAAAAACAAGGAAAGUGCAAACAAAACGUACUGGUCUUGUGCGAGGGCAGGCAUGAGCAAAUGUAAAGCACGGGUUCUGACCUACACACUGAGAAACGGGGAAGAGAACUUGGUGGAUCGAUAUCCAACACACAAUCAUGAACCAUUCUAGUACUGCAAUCUUAUAUGAUACUCUGUAAAUAAAACAUUAAUGAGUUGGUGGAAACUGUGGUGGAGUUUUCCUCUAUGCCCUAUAUUUGCAUUACGUUGAAGCAUGACUAAUCAGUUAAUUUGGAUUCCAUUUUAGUGUUUAAAAUUGUUAACAUUGAAGAAGUGGAAGAUGAUCAACCCAAGGAAAUAUACUUCACCGUCGGGCAACGUGGUUGCGUUUUGCUGCACGUUGAUGGCUACAAAUUCGUAAAGAAUCGUAAGGGGGCAUACAAAACCUAUUGGAUCUGCGCUAAAAAGGGAAGUACAGCCUGCAAAGCUAGAGUCAUCACCCCGGCAAACAGUGAGGAGAAAAAGGUUCCCACGUUGAUAGCUCGCAGCGGAACACAUAAUCACCCUGUAUUCGUAGAGCGAAAAUCCCGCAGUUCUGCCACACAUAGGAUUUUACUUUUCGAAGACCCAUUGUGAAAUAAAUCUAUCUCAACUGAAA